UACGUAGGGUGCGAGCGUUAAUCGGAAUUACUGGGCGUAAAGCGUGCGCAGGCGGUUCGUUAAGUCAGAUGUGAAAGCCCCGGGCUCAACCUGGGAACUGCAUUUGAAACUGGCGGGCUUGAGUGCGGCAGAGGGGGGUGGAAUUCCGCGUGUAGCAGUGAAAUGCGUAGAUAUGCGGAGGAACACCGAUGACGAAGGCAAUCCCCUGGGCCUGCACUGACGCUCAUGCACGAAAGCGUGGGGAGCAAACAGG
rnacentral:rRNA from 1 species